rnacentral:hammerhead_ribozyme from 1 species
AUCCAGCUGACGAGUUCUGAAUAGGACGAAACGCGCGUCCUGGAG